GUCUGCAGUAGGAGCAGGGUCAGGUGCAGGAAGUGAAUCAGCCGGGCCGGAUGCUGGGCGAGCACGACGAUGAUAUGUCAAGAGUGGAGUGUUGUGUGCAGGGAGUCUAGGAGGAGCCACAGUAGAGGGUCCAACGUUUGGAAUGGGUAAUACUUCUGUAGCGGAAGGUGAAGGAGGAGAUAUAGUAGACUCCCUAAAGG
rnacentral:lncRNA from 1 species